rnacentral:lncRNA from 1 species
GAAAAGAAAUUUUUAUAAAGGCCAUUUUUCAGGCUAUACCUACUUAUAAGAUGACUUGUUUUUUUAUUACAUAAAGCUCUAUGUGAUGAACUUGAAAGUAUUGUUGCAAGGUUCUGGUGGCAGAAGGGACAUGGAAAAAAAGGUAUCCAUUGGUGUGUUUGGAAAAACCUCUGUUUUUUGAAAAAAAAUGGUAGAUUAGGUUUUCGAAAUUAUGAUCAAUUCAAUAUUGCGUUAUUAGCCAAAAAAGGCUGGCGUCUUAUUAAUUAUCCAAAUUCAUUAUUGGACAGAUUUUUAAAAGCAAAGGAAUUUACCUUCACUUACUUGGAAGAGUAUUUGGGCUGCAAAGGGACUUCUUCAAAGAAGGUUGUGCUGGAGAGUGGGUAGAGGGGAUAACAUUUCAAUUUGGGACAAUAGUUGGGUUUAGGGGAUCGACAAAGUUGAAGGAAACAACUGACCAGAAAAUGAGGAGUUAGUCAGUUUCGGAUCUCAUUAACAUUCCAAACAAAAAGUGGAAGACGGAUUUGAUUUAAAAUACCUUUUCAGGAGAAAUUGCGAAGAAAAUUUUAUAGAUCCCACUUGCAGAGACGGACCGUGAAGAUAUUCAAGUCUAGAAAGGAGAACCAUCCGAGGAAUUUUCAGUUUGCAGCGCCUAUAAACUAUUACAAUGGGCUAAUCCGGAUCCUAGUAAUUUCUUAAUACAAACCGAAACUACAGAUUUCUACAAAAAAUUAUGGGGUUUACAGCUUCCUUCAAAAAUCACUAUAAUUAUUUGGCGAAUCUCUUGGGAUUUCAUCCUUCAUCUAGCUAAUCUCAGAUACCGAAGAGUUUCUACAAGUGACAGAUGUCCCUGUUGCCGUUCUUAGGUUGAAACAGUCCUUAUUUUUUUCGUCAAUGCCCUGUAACAACAGAAGUGUGGCAUUUUUUACAUCUAUCUUGGGUCAUGAACAAUAUGAAUCAAACUAUAUGGGAGUGGCUUACCUAGGUUUUCAAGAGAGGAACUGGGGAACAAUGUUGCCUUUUUUGUAUUGCUUUAUGGCUAAUCUGGUUUUCUAGAAAUCAACUCAUUCACGAGAGGAAGGAAAAGACAGGUAGAGAACUUGCUCAUCGAAUACAGAGGUAUAUGGCAGAAAAUGAAGGGGUGAGAGAAACUCCGAAUCCCUUCAACACAAACAAGAAUCACAGAGGUCAGAAGGACAUAUCGAGAAUAACGAUCCAGUUCAAUGUGGCGUUCGACAUUCGAAACUUCAAAUCAGCAACAAGCCUGGUGGUUUGGGGCUUGACGGGCGAGCUCCUGGUCUUAAAGUCGACCCUUCACAACAAUGUUUCUUCCCCGUUCGCAGCAGAAGCAUUUGCAUGUUUGGAAGGCAAAAAGUUAGGGAUAUCAAUGGAUAUCCAAUCGAUUAAAAUCAUGAGGGAUUCUAGAACAAUAAUUAAAAAAUGUCAAACGUCUUCAACAGAUAAAUCAGAGAUCGGAGUGAUCAUAAAAGACAUUCAGAACAGGAAAGUUUAUUUUCAAGAGAUUAUCUUUCAGCAUAUUCAUAGAUCAGGGAACUCACAAGCACACAGAUUCGUAAAGAAUACUCUAGAUAGAUGAGAGAUCUCUUACCUGGUAGGAGAGGAGUUGAAUCGACAUCCUUUCGACUCGGAGGGAAGAUGGUCAAGAAGACCAGAUUAAAGAAGGAGAUAAGGAAUCUGAUUUCAAAAGUGAUAGUAAAUAAAAGCUUUAUUCUUGAAAAUAGCUAUCGUCAGAACGAAUGGGUGCUUUGAAAUGACAAAUCAAUGAAUGGUAGUGGAGGCCAGCCGUUUGAAUUGACUGGGUAGAUAUUUAGUUUCCUGUUUUCCGUCAGAAUCAUUUAAUGCUUUUUGUUUCCUUUAAGUUACGUUUAUUUUACAGUUUUUUUAGGAGGGCCCAUUAAUAUACAAGUUAAUGUGGCCAGAUUUGAAUUUAGGUUUGAUGUAAUAGGACUGGGCCAUGGGUCUUUAUUGGGUUUUUUUGUUAUUUUUUCUCUUCUUUUUUAAUAAUAUACCCGGUCUAUUGAUUUUAAAAAAAAAACUUAAUUUGCAUAAUUUAAAAGGAAAAAU